rnacentral:snRNA from 1 species
AAGUGUUACAGCUCUUUUAGAAUUUGUCUAGCAGGUUUUCUGACUCCGGUUGGAAAACCCCU